AAAACCGGUUAAGGUCAGUAAACAUGGCGGACAAAUUCAACUUUCAUUGUUGACAUACACGAAAAAUAACCGAUAUAAGGACUAUACUUGAACUUUUUGGAUUUAUUUAUGCCAUAGACAUCUACAACGUUAAAGUUCAGGAGGUUUCGAUGGAAAUCUUAGUGUAGUAUGUGGAAGUAACCAUUCAGCAGAAACAACAUCAAUGGAAACAUCUACUACAACCGCAUCGUCUACUACACGAUUAAUAAGUACAACUUCUGAGGUGUCAUCAGUGGAACUUAUAAUUACAUCUGCAAUAAAUGAGAAUAGAUCGGAUGCUACUGGGUCAACUGCUGCUACUUUGUCGGAGGAAAAUAAAUCCGAGUCACUUUUGUCCUUACAAAUUUCGUUGGCUCUGUUCGUGAUGAUUUCGACAGUUUCAACAAUUUUGAAUAUAUAUUUUUAUAGAUACAUCAAAACAAGAAAGAAAUCUUGGAACGGUAAAUCUAACUCGAAAGGUAUAAAAGACCAUCGAAGUGGGACAGCAACUAAUGCUGAAACCUACACAGAACUUGGAAAUACGGUGUCAGGGGAAUCUGAAAACCAGUACGACUCUAUCUCACGCCAGGAUAACUACAUGAACACGAAUGUCCUUUAAACUUUUCUUACAGGUGAAUUCAUGUCACUUGCAAAUGGACUCAUUAUUGGUUGGAAGUAGUACAGGGUGUUUAACAAUAUAAUUGUCAUAAAUCUAAAGGCAAAAAGAAUGAUAACAACACAGUUACAGAUACAAUUUAUAUUUCAUUUUCAGCAAGAGAUAUCCAAAAUUAAUAUUUUAAGUCAUUGAUAUGAGACACACUCCAUUUUCGUUUUUUCAGCAACGAUAACCUCAAGUGAUAUGCUCCAGAUGUUUACCCUUUUCUAAACUUUAGAGACAUGUGUGCGGAAAUUCCGUAUCACUGACCUGCACGUUUCACUGGAUAUCUGGAGGAUUCCUCGCUUAAUAUUGUUCUUCAGUUCCUUCAUCCCAUCAUGUCGGUAUAAACUCUGUCUUUCAAAUACCCCAACAGGAAAAAAUCCAAUGAUUUAAACCGGGUGAAUGUGAUGUCCAUGAUUUUCAGUUCUGUGUGAAAGAUAUUGUCAUGAAAAUGUGUCGUCUAACCACUCAAGCACUCUUGUAGCUGUGUGUGGACUAGCUCCAUCUUGUUGAUACCAAACACUCGACGCGAGAAGUUGGUUGUUUUCCGUUGAAGGGCUGGUAAAAAUUUUCUUUUCAGCAAAUUUAGGUAUUGUUCAACGUUCACACUCUCCAUCAGAAUCCUCAACAACAACAAAAAAUAAGGAUGAAUGAUUUCUAUUGACCAAAUUGCAGCCCAAAAGUGAUUUUGUCCGCAUGAAAAUGUUUUUUCUCAUAACAAUUUGGUUUUUCAGGACCACAAAAGCGCAUGUUUUGUUUAUUUUCAGAUGCAUUGAAAGAAAUUUGAAUAAAAGUGUGCCUCGUCAGAAAAC
rnacentral:sRNA from 1 species